UUUUUUUUUUUUUUCUUUUUCAGGGCUACACCUGCAGCAUAGGGAAGUUCCCUGACUAGGGGUCGAAUCAGAGUUACAGCUGCCAGUCUAUGCCACAGCCACAGCCACACAGGAUCCAAGCCACAUCUGCGACCUACACCACAGUUCAUGGCAAUGCUGGAUCCUUAACCCACUGAGUGAGGCCAGAGAUCGAACCCACAUCCUCAUGGAUACUAGUUGGGCUCAUUAUCACUGAGCCACCACAGGAACUUCCUCAACUUGCCCUUUAUGAGCCUCAGUUUCCACAUCUCUAAGGAAGAAAUUCAAGAAUCACUAAGGUCUUUUCCAGUCUAGACAUUUCAUACAGAGGGAUUUUAAGGCUAAAGGUCAAAGGGAAAGAUCCUCUAAGUUUGGCUAAAACCAAGUUACUUUGUUGAACUCGUGAAGGGUCUGUAUUCUGGAGUCUAUCUCCUGCUUUCCGAAAUCAGGAUUUCAAGACCUGCUCUCCUCAUACAACAAUCUCUAUGUCUGACAAUUUCACCUCCUAAAUCGUUGCUCAUGUCCAUCCACUGGAAUCCAUCUGCCCCUCUCCAUUUCUGCUGCCUUCAGUUUAGGCCCAGCCAUCAUCUCUUACCUGGAUUAUUCCAAGGGGCUUGGAAUUGUACCCACUUUAUCCUUUACAUGGCAGUCAUCAGAAUCAUUCUAAAAUGCAAAACAUGUCACUCUCUAAAACAUGUCAGUAUCUUACCACAGUCUAUAGAAGAAGAAAAAAAAAAAGCCCUCCUUCACAACCAACUUCUUCUUUCAUUUCCACUGCCUCAUUUUUCACUGUCUUCUAUCAUAAACUUCAUGCUCUAAGAAUGCCACAUUCUGCAAUGCCAUGUCAUGCCACUGAAUCCUCCAAACAAUUGCUUUGGCUGUCCUUUCUGCCAGGAAUGUGCUGCCCUCCUCUUUCAGAUUGGUUGCUCUUAUUCAUGCACCCUCUGAGCUGGAUGACUUCUUGAACCCUGUUUGGAACAACUGUCCAUGUUAUGUGCUUCCAUAAUACCCUGUUCAUACCUUUUGCUUAUCACUGGCUGAAUCAUUUUUAAGCUGUCAAAAACAUCGGCGUUUAGAAGGUACACUUAGGAUUCAAAGCUGGUAAAGGAGACUCAGAGGGAGAAACCAUGGUAGAUGGGCACCAGGAGAGUGUGGCAGCAGAAAAGCCAACCCAAAAAGGAGUUUUUAAAAAGAUGAGAACAUAAAGAGCACUGCUAAAACUCAACAACAAUAAAACAAACAAAUUCAAAAAUGGGCAAAGGACUUAUUUUUCCAAAGAAAAUACAUGUAAACAGCCAAUAGCACAUGAAAAGAUGGUCAGCCUCACUCAUCAUUAGGGAAAUGCAAAUAGAAACUACAAUGAUAUAUUCCUUCACAUCUAUUAGAAUGGCUGCUAUCAAAAAAAAAAAAACCGAGAAAAUAAUAAGUGUUGAUGAAAACUAUGUGGGGAAAUUGGAACUGCUAUGCACUAUUUCUGGAAAUAUAAAAUGGUAUAGCUACUGUAGGAAACAAUAUAUGGCAGUGUCUCAAAAAAUUAAAAAUAGAGUUACUAUAUGAUCCGGCAAUUCUGCUUCUGGUAUACAUCCAAAAAGAAUUGAAAACAGGGACUCAAACAGAUAUUUGUUCACAGCUGGAUUAUUCACAAUAGCUGAAACAUGGAAACAAUCAGUGUCCAUCUACAGAUAAAUAGAUUUUUUUAAAUGUUGUAUAUGUACAAAGUGGAAUAUGAUUUAGUUUUUAAAAGGAAGAAAAUUCAGACAUAUGGAUGAAGUUUAAGGACAUCAUGCUAAGUGGAAUAAGCCAGUUCUAAAAAGACUAAUACUGUAUGAUUCUUGUUAUGUAUACUUUGUAACGUACCUAGAGCAGCCAAAAUUAAAGAGAAAGUAGGAACAGAGGGAAGGGAAAAUGGGGAGUUACUGUUUAAUGGGUUUAAAGUUUCAGUUUUACAAGAUGGAAAGAGUUCUGGAAAUGGAUGGUGGCGACGGUUACAAAAUAGUAUGUAUUUAAUGUCCCUGAGAUGUACAAUUAAAAACAUUUAAGCUGGUAUAGUUUAUGUUAUGUAUAUUCUACCACAACAAAACCAUUGGAUAAGAAACAAACAUGGAGUUGAUCUGUAUAAAAUUCUGCUUGGACAUCCAGCGAAAUGCGUUCUGAAAAGUGACCACUGGAUUGGGCAAUACAGAAACCCUUGGUGAUCUCAGAAGUUUUUUUGAUGUGCUGACCAAUGGAAGAACACACAGAUUUGUUUAUUUACUGAUCUCAGUUGUUGCCUAGAGCUUGCUAGCUUUCAGACACAGAGGUUUAUAGGAGCACAAUCUUUUGCAAUUUUUGUUUAAUGAGAUUGUGUCUUAUGUUAGAGGAAGCCAAAGUAGAUUCAAAGUGAGAGCUCUAUAGGGCAGGCCACUGUGGCCUCUUCAGGGGUCCUUUGCCUUCUAGCAGGAGCGAGAAAUUCUGAAAAAUCUAAUCACAACAGUAAGCAUCAGAGAUGGGUUUUUCUUGCCCGCAGGAGGGUUGGCAUCAGAGGCAGGUUUCAGAGAACCUCGAUCAGAGAAGCCAAUGGAUCAGACCCAUUUGGAGAGAGAGGCUCCGUUUCCCUCUCUGCCUUGAUACAGCUGCAGAAAUGGGCCUCCGAAGACAAGGGCAUGAAAACCACAUGCCCUGUUAGGGUCUGUAAGGCUUAAGCCUCUGGUUUCCUCUCCUAUAGCCCUCUCCCUGGUUUUCUAGGCUCUGACCCUCCUGGCCCAUCUUAAACACCCCAAAGUAUUCCAUUUGCUUAAAAUUCUCCAAGAUCCUUGUAAAUUUGGCUCCUUCUUGUCACCCUGAUUUCAGAUCGAAUGUUCUCCCCUCAGAGAGGCCUUCUAUAAUCACCAUGGUCAUGGUACCCUCAACCCCAGUCAACUUCUAGCCCACCCUCUGAUAGUAUUCUCUUCACAGCAUUAAUAUCUCCAAGAGCUAGCCUCGCUGAUCUGUGUGUUUGGCUAGUUAUUGUCCGUCUCUCUUUAUUAGAUGGUUAGACUCCUGAUGGGCAGGGGGCCAUCACUUCCUGCACUGAUAUAUCUUUAUUAACCCAAAAGCACCCAGCAAAGAUUAGGCAUUCUGUUAAAUGAGUGUGUAAAUAAAGGUUUUCAGGUGACCACAAAUGUUUAGUCCUAAGUCAAGGUUUAUACAUCUCCAACUACUGUAUCUCCUAAUGACUCCUUGGGGCUCCCCCAAAUGCUAGAGUCUUUCCGCAGAAAGAUAUGAUCCAGUGAGUGGUCCUUAGGCUGCAUUAGAACUACUAGGGUUUAAAAGGUGGUUUCAGGGCUUUAUCCCCAGAGAUUCUGUAUGAGUGGGUUGGGGUGGGGCUCUGCCCUCUGUAAGAGAUCCUGAUGCCACAAGCAGACCAUUCUUGGAGAAUGCAGUUCUAUACAUCAUCAUGCCUCAUAGACCAAACUGUGGCACCUCAGAGCCUGAUGUAUGCCUGAAUUGAUUUAUGGAUGGAUGGAUGGAUGGACAGAUGGACGGACGUAUGGAUUAUAACUCUUAUAGGCCAAGCAAUGUAAAAGGAAGGCAACAGACCAUGAUGCUCUUUCUAGGCCAACACUGCAGGAGAAACUGAGGCAGAAGGGUUAUUUAAGAUGUCUGAUAGAGAGAAAAAUCAGAAGCCUUGAUUGUUGUAAUUUAGAGAUGGUCUUUAAAACACAACACAAUUGGGGCUUAGUUCAACGGAUGCUUUCAGGUCCCUCAGAAUUGGGGCUCAAUUCUGGAUCACAAGUGUGAUCUUGGCAGUUAUAGUUUGGCAUGAGGUUUUUGAUAAGCACAAAAUAAUUAGAACAAGCAUCUGAUAUGUUUCAGUACUUUCUACACAUUAACUCUUAAUUCUUGAAACAACCCGAGACGUACUUGUCUGCAUUUUACAAUAAAGGGGGGGGGAGGUAGUUGAGAUAGGAAAAGUAGCCUAAGCAGCCUUGUCCAAGUCAAGGUAAUGGGCAGGGAUUUGACCUCAGGUUUCCUUGGAUCCAAAGUCCAUGCUUCUUCCACUCUACAGCCCAGGUGAGGCAUGUUUUGCUUCCUCAAGAUCAAAGUUUGGGGUGUUUGGUGUCUGCAUAAGUAUGUACAGAAGAGUAUAGAGGCCCAUGGCAGCCCGUGUGUUGUGUUUCGGACCGUGUCUCUGUGGGUACCUGUACCUGUGGGUUCCUCUGUCCCUACCUGUGUUUGAAUCCCCAGGCCAGUACCUGUGUUAGGGUGCUGGAAAAUAAGAAAGGAGAACAAGUCAAUGAAGUGGAGUAUUUAAAUGAAAUAUUCAAUAACCACAAUCUGUGCAUCUUCCCCAGAGGGGGCUUAGGGACAUGGAUUUUUACACACAGAGAGGAAAAAGUCCAUCUCCCCAACUUCCCAAGAGAGGAACCCUUCCUAUAAGCAGAUUCUUAUGAUACCCGGUGCUUAAGAUUCUCCUUUUAGAUUGUGGGUAGUUUUUAAAGGGAGAUUUAAGCUAGGGUUUUACACAUUCUCCAAGUGCUUUUCUAAGGAGUAAGACUUCCACCAUCUUGGCCAUUUCAUUUUCACAUAGAUCUGUGAUAUCCUCUCUCUGUUCAAAUUAAAUAUAUUUCAUUUUAUUUGUUUGCUGCCUCCUAGGAUUUCUUUCACAGGGCUACACCCACAGCAUAUGGAGGUUCUGAGUCUAGGGGUCCAAACGGAGCUGUAGCUGCUGGCCUAUACCACAGCCACAGCAACAUGAGAUGUGAGCCACAUCUGCAACGUACACCACAGCUCGUGGCAAUGCUGGAUCUUUAGCCCACUGAGCGAGGCCAGGGAUUGAACCUGUAACCUCAUGGUUCUUAGUCAGAUUCAUUUCCACUGUUCCAGACAGGAACUCCCAAAAUAAAUUUCCAAGGCUCCUCCUCUGGGUGUCUGUCCUCCUCCCACUGAAUCUAUAGAGGAGCACAUCUCUGGUUCUGCUCACCCCUCAGAGCAUCAGUAAAGGAAGGGAGGAAGGGAACUCUUCUAACAAGAGAAAUGCAGGAAGCGAUGGGGCAGUAGACGUCCAUCCACAUCGGCUCCUGCCAGGCACUGUCUCUGACACACACCCUCCAGGCUUUGCCUCUCCCCUGGUUAAUUCCCUUCAAAGGCUUCUCAACGAAUGGACUGGGCUGGGCCUGCCCACCCUCCACGAAGGUGACACAUUGGCCACCUUCCAGUCCCUCGGAAGCAUCAAGCACUUUCCUGCCUUGUGAUCCUCCACACACGGUUGCCUUAUCCCCUGCACAACCCCCUGCCUAGUCAAUUCCUACUGGUCCCUCAGGGCUCAACUCAGAGAGGUGCUCCACUUAGGAAAAGUCUUUUUUGGUCUCCUUUUACCCACCCAAGGCCAGAUCCACCUUCUGCAAACUUUCAGUGUACUCAGGCUCAGUUAGCUGUGUCAUCUAGUUUUAUGAUGACUGUCUCACUCAAACAAAGAAAGCUCCCUCAGGAUGGGACCAUGCCUAUUUUGUUCACCUGUGCAUGUCCAGGGCUUAUAAUAGGCUUUUCAUUUAGCAGGUAGAAAAAGAGUAAACAUUUAUUGAGUGAAGAAAUAAACGAGCCUCAGGUUCCUCAUCUGUAAAGUAGCGAUAACAAUAAAACUCCUAUGAGGAUUAAAGGAGAUAAGAGAAGUGACACUGCCUGACCCAUAACAAGAUUUUUCUUUGUUUUCUUGGUUGUUCAUUCCCUAAAUAAAGGAGCUCAAAAAUGAAAUCAGCUGCCUCCUAGGAUUGUAAGCUUUCUGCCAUUGGAGGCCUUUGAGCACAAGCUGGAUAACAAUUUUGCAGGGAUAUUGUAGAAGGUUGGUCAGUGAGUCUGGAUGAGUGGUUCUCAAUUUUCCCUGCACAGUAGAAUCAACAGGAG
rnacentral:lncRNA from 1 species